GAACGGGUUCGACGGUGAGGGACGAAAGCUGGGGGCACGAACCGGAUUAGAUACCCGGGUAGUCCCAGCCGUAAACKAUGCUCGCUAGGUGUCAGGCAUGGCGCGACCGUGUCUGGUGCCGCAGGGAAGCCGUGAAGCGAGCCACCUGGGAAGUACGGCCGCAAGGCUGAAACUUAAAGGAAUUGGCGGGGGAGCACMACAACGGGUGGAGCCUGCGGUUUAAUUGGAYUCAACGCCGGACAWCUCACCGGGRACGACAGCAAWAUGWWGGCCAGGYUGAAGACCUUGCYUGAMWMGCUGAGAGGAGGUGCAUGGCCGYCGYCAGUUCGUACUGUGAAGCAUCCUGUUAAGUCAGGC
rnacentral:rRNA from 1 species